rnacentral:rRNA from 1 species
CAAAUUACCCACUCCCGGCACGGGGAGGUAGUGACGAAAAAUAACGAUACGGGACUCAUCCGAGGCCCCGUAAUCGGAAUGAGCACACUCUAAACACGUUUCCGAAAAUCAAUUGGAGGGUAAGUCUGGUGCCAGCAGCCGCGGUAAGACCAGCUCCAAUAGCGUAUAUUAAAGUUGUUGCGGUUAAAAAGCUCGUAGUCGAAUUUGUGUCCCGCGCCGCUGGUUCAUCGCUCGCGGUGUUCAACUGGCGUGUCUCGCGGGACGUCCUGCCGGUGGGAUACUGGGUCUAAUGGCUCAGUCCCUACUCGCCACCGCCUUGCGCGGUGUCCGAAUCCCAUCGCGGUGCUCUUUAUUGAGUGUCGAGGUGGGCCGGCACAUUUACUUUGAACAAAUUAGAGUGCUUAAAGCAGGCCAGUUUUGCCUGAAUAUUCUGUGCAUGGAAUAAUGGAAGAGGACCUCGGUUCUAUUUUGUUGGUUUUCGGAACCCCGAGGUAAUGAUUAAUAGGAACGGAUGGGGGCAUUCGUAUUGCGACGUUAGAGGUGAAAUUCUUGGAUCGUCGCAGGACGGACAGAAGCGAAAGCAUUUGCCAAAAACGCUUUCAUUGAUCAAGAACGAAAGUUAGAGGUCCGAAGGCGAUCAGAUACCGCCCUAGUUCUAACCAUAAACGAUGCCAGCUAGCGAUCCGCCGACGUUCCUCCGAUGACUCGGCGGGCAGCUUCCGGGAAACCAAAGCUUUUGGGUUCCGGGGGAAGUAUGGUUGCAAAGCUGAAACUUAAAGGAAUUGACGGAAGGGCACCACCAGGAGUGGAGCCUGCGGCUUAAUUUGACUCAACACGGGGAAUCUGACCAGGCCCGGACACCGGAAGGAUUGACAGAUUGAGAGCUCUUUCUUGAUUCGGUGGGUGGUGGUGCAUGGCCGUUCUUAGUUG